CCUUGCUUUCUAUUCAAUUCUACUCUACCUGACUCCAUUGGAAUUACAUUUUAAUCCAUAUGUGUGUGAUCUUUUAGCUUUUAACCCGAUUAAGUGUGUCCAUGUGCACGGAGCUUGUCAUGCAGCCAUGCAGCGUACAGGGGAGCCUGAUUAGUAAUCAGGGCCAGGUGUGUCCUGGUUGCCAAUCAGGGCCAGGUGUGAGAGCCAGCACACCGGCAGACGGGAAGUGAAACAACAACACAAGUCACGACAAGAGCGACGUUGACUUACUGAGCUGCUGCAUCACCUGUAUGGCAAGGACGACACGAAAAGACACUUUUUUUUUUUCAACCUGCCUAAGGAUUAUGAUCGGUUCUUCAUCUACAUUCCAGUGAGAGCAGACGUUGUACAGAGGAAAUGAAAUCAUGCUUUUUGAUCUGACGCCGCUCGUCAUCCGGUGUUGCGGCAGCCGAGCUGUUUAUGAGGAUAGAAAGGAUGUGUGCUGAGGCGGGACAAAAACAAUCAUCAAUUAAAGCUGCAAGCAGCGAUGGACGGUACCGACUUCUGGUGGUGUUUCCUGCCUUUACCCAAUCAACAUAUCUUUACCUGCACAUUACCUACCUUCCCUGCAUCCUGGGGUCACACUGGUGCCUCCUUCUUUCACCCAGUCAACAUAUCUUUACCCACACAGUACCUACCUUCUCUGCAUUGUGUGGUCACGCUGGUGUUUCCUGCUUUUAAGUGGCCCUCUUGAGAUGGCAGCAGCAUCAGCGCAACAGUUCUUUGAAGGCCCGUAAUAUCAAAACCAGAGCAGUUAGAAAAACUCUUUCCGCAACUUUUAAUCAGAAGGGUUCAAUAUCUUUCCUGUGCUCGUUUGAAGCCGACACAACAAACGCGCUCAGAGGAGAUCAUGUUUGAAAAAAGGUGACGGGUUUUUUCAAAACUUUUGUUUUGAAGGGGUAAUUGCCAACUUCCUGUUGAUUUUUGUUGAAGGAUAUAAAUGAAUGGUAGGUCUAAGUGAGACCUACUUAGAGGUUUUUGUUUCAUGUCUCUACAACAUUCUUACUGGAAAUUACAAGCAGUUGUGUCUGUGUUUUCUUCCUAGGAGCAGUUUUGUCUGUGUUUUCUUCCUAGGCGGCGCUAGAUCGCAAUUUUGAGUUUUGGGGUUUGGUUUUUUACUAGAUCGCAAUUUUCGCCAGUCCAGAUGUGUUUGGCCAGUUUGGUGAGUUUUGAAGCAUUUUAAGGGGUCAAAGAGGCAAAAAUGACAUUUUUUAGGAAACUUUAAUUUUGAAGGUUUUUUUUUGCCAACUUCCUGUUGAUUUUUGCUGAAGGAUGUAUUUGAAUGAAAUGUAGGUCUAAGUAGGUCUACAUAGAGGUUUUUGUUUCAUGUCCACGACAUUCCUUCCGGAAGUUACAAGCAGUUGUGUCUGUGUUUUCUUCCUAUGAGCAGUUUUGUCUGUUUUAUUCCCAGGGGGCGCUGGAGCGCAUUUGUAGUUUUGGGGUUUGUUUUUGUACUAGAUCGCAAUUCUUGCUCGUCCUGAUGUGUGUGUCCAGUUUGGUGAGUUUUGAAGCAUUUUAAGGGGGUCAAAUUGCCGCUCAAAGAGGCAAAAUGACAUUUUUUAGUAAACUUUAGUUUUGAAGCGGUUUUUGCCAACUUUCUGUUGAUUUUUGUGAAGGAUGUGAGUGUAUGAAAUGUAGGUCUAAGUCAGACCUACAUAGAGGUUUCAUGUCUCUACGACAUUCCUAACGGAAGUUACAAGCAGUUUUGUCUGUUUUUUUCUUAGGGCGCAAUUUUGAGAUUUGGAUUUGAUUUUUUGAUUAAAUGGCAAUUUUUGCCGGUCCUGAUGUGUGUGUUAAAUUUGGUGAGUUUUGAAGCAUUUUAAGGGGGUCAAUUUACAGCUCAAAGAUGCGGCGGUAUAAUAAUAAUAAUAAUAAUAAAACCUUAGAAAUACAAUAGGGUCAUCCGUAUCAAAGGGACAUUCGGUCCCUAAUAAUUGUUUCUAAACAAAUAUAAAUACAUGGGAGUUGAACAAUCAACAGGCUGCACUCUCUCUAGCCCCGCCCAUUUGAGGUACCCUCGCUGCUAUUGUCGUUUGUGACGCCUACAAAACUGCACCAGGACGUGUUAGCACUCGGGUGGUACGGUACACCGUAGUGACACCAAUGAAUCAUAUUCGAUACUAUACUGCCUCUAAAAAGUACCGGUCCCCCGGUCGUCAUCACUUGGUGACAUUGCUGGUUUCAGGAGCAGAAGAGCACGUUGGGCAGCGCACACACACACAGAGUACUUACAAGCAGACACAGUGUGUAGACAGAAAAGGGAGAACGGACGCAUUUUGGUGUAAAAAGUCAAGAUACAGCCAUACAAUUAAGUCACUCACACUGUACACAUAAGGACAUAAAAGGACUGUAAUAAACAGAUUAAAUGACACACUUAAUUCACUCAUACUGUACACAAGAGAUAAUAAGACUUUAAUAAACAGAUUAAAUGACACUUAAGUCACUCAUACUGUACACAGAAGGACAUAUAAGGACUGUAAUAAACAGAUUAAAUGACACUUAAGUCACUCAUACUGUACACAGAAGGACAUAUAAGGACUGUAAUAAACAGAUUAAAUGAUAAUUAAGUCACUCAUACUGUACACAGAAGGACAUAAGGACUGUAAUAAACAGAUUAAAUGACACACUUAAGUCACUCAAACUGUACACAGAAGGACAUAAGGACUGUAAUAAACAGAUUAAAUGACACACUUAAGUCACUCACACUGUACACAUAAGGACAUAAAAGGACUGUAAUAAACAGAUUAAAUGACACAAUUAAGUCACUCAUACUGUACACAGAAGGACAUAAAAGGACUGUAAUAAACAGAUUAAAUGACACUUAAGUCACUCAUACUGUACACAGAAGGACAUAUAAGGACUGUAAUAAACAGAUUAAAUGACAAUUAAGUCACUCAUACUGUACACAGAAGGACAUAAGGACUGUAAUAAACAGAUUAAAUGACACACUUAAGUCACUCAUACUGUACACAGAAGGACAUAUAAGGACUGUAAUAAACAGAUUAAAUGACACACUUAAGUCACUCAAACUGUACACAGAAGGACAUAAGGACUGUAAUAAACAGAUUAAAUGACACACUUAAGUCACUCAUACUGUACACAGAAGGACAUAAGGACUGUAAUAAACAGAUUAAAUGACAAUUAAGUCACUCAUACUGUACACAGAAGGACAUAAAAGGACUGUAAUAAACAGAUUAAAUGACACUUAAGUUACUCAUACUGUACACAGAAGGACAUAUAAGGACUGUAAUAAACAGAUUAAAUGACAAUUAAGUCACUCAUACUGUACACAGGACAUAAGGACUGUAAUAAACAGAUUAAAUGACACACUUAAGUCACUCAUACGGUACACAGAAGGACAUAUAAGGACUGUAACAAACAGAUUAAAUGGCACACUUAAGUCACUCAUACUGUACAUAGAAGGACAUAAGGACUGUAAUAAAGAGAUUAAAUGACACUUAAGUCACUCACACUGUACACAGGAGAUAAAAGGACUGUAAUAAACAGAUUAAAUGACACUUAAGUCACUCAUACUGUACACAGAAGGACAUAUAGAGACUGUAAUAUACAGAAUAAUCUUAUUGGGAGAAGGAAGUGUCAACAAUGACACCACUACCCUGCUUAGGUUGUCACUGUCAAUGACAUGAUAGCAGAUUUUUACACAUGUUCACAAAACUUAAUUCUUGAUGUUGAUCACAGCAUUUUUUUUUUGACAAGGACAAGACGAGCAAUCUUGAUUGCUCCACUUUCUGAGGACUUUCACUUUCGUUUUGUUUGCACGGCAGAGGAGUCGAGCCCGUCUGGCGCUUUAUAGACACAUUGCUGGAAGUCAAUUUACAAGCGACCUUAAUCUAGUAGCUGUCUCACUGAAGUACACACACACACACACGCACACACGCACACACACACACACACACACACACACACAUUCUUGUUUUUGUUGCCUUCUUGAGAUCUGUGAAAAAAUGCCUACCUCUUCAGGACCCGCCUUUCUAGAUAUAUAGAUGUGUAUUUACAACAUUAAUAAUAUAUACAUACUAUGCAAAUAUAAAAAAGCUAAACUUUUAGGUAAUUUUAUUUUUUGUUUCUGUUUUGUUUGUUUAGAGUAGGCUAACCCAUGUGGUUCCUGUGGAUGUAAACAUUACUGUAGUGACUAAAGAACAUAGUGACUGAAGCAGACAAAGUAAUGAGUAAAUAAUGUCAAUAAGUAGAUGAACCACCAGUGAAGUGAACACUAGUAAGGUUGUAAAUACUGUAUAGAGUAGGGUAACCCAUGUGGUUCCUGUGGAUGUAAACAUAAUUACUGUAGUGACUGAAUAACAUAGUGACUGAAACAAAGUAAUGUCUAAAUAAUGUCAAUAAGUAGAUGAAUCAUCUGCGAAGUGAACACUAGUAAGGUUGUAAGUACUGUAUAGAGUAGGCUAACCCAUGUGGUUCCUGGGGAUAAAAACAUAAUUACUUUAGUGACUAAAUAACAUAGUGACUGAAACCGACAAAGUAAUGUGUAAAAAAUGUCAAUUAGUAGAUUAAUCAUCUGGGAAGUGAACACUAGUAGUGUUGUAAAUACUAUAUAGAGUAGGCUAACCCAUGUGGUUCCUGUGGAUGUGAACACAAUUACUGUAGUGACUAAAUAACAUAGUGACUGAAGCAGACAAAGUAAUGUGUAAAUAAGGUCAAUAAGUAGAUGAAUCAUCAGUGAAGUGAACACUAGUAAGGUUGUAAGUACUGUAUAGAGUAGGCUAACCCAUGUGGUUCCUGGGAAUAAAAACAUAAUUACUUUAGUGACUAAAUAACAUAGUGACUGAAACAGACAAAGUAAUGUGUAAAAAUUGUCAAUAAGUAGAUUAAUCAUCUGGGAAGUGAACACUAAUAGGGUUGUAUAUACUGUAUAGAGUAGGCUAACCCAUGUGGUUUCUGUGGAUGUAAACAUAAUUAUUGUAGUGACUAAAUAACAUAGUGACUGAAACAAAGUAAUGUGUAAAUAAUGUCAAUAAGUAGAUGAAUCAUCUGUGAAGUGAACACUAGUAAGGUUGUAAAUACUGUAUAGAGUAGGCUAACCCAUGUGGUUCCUGUGGAUGUGAACACAAUUACUGUAGUGAUUAAAUAACAUAGUGACUGAAGCAGACAAAGUAAUGUCAAAUGAUGUCAAUAACUAGAUGAGCCACCAGUGAAGUGAACACUAGUAAGGUUGUAAAUACUGUAUAGAGUAGGCUAUCCCAUGUGGUUCCUGUGGAUGUGAACACAAUUACUGUAGUGACUAAAUAACUAGUGACUGAAACAGACAUAGUGAUUCAUUUGUAUUUAAGUCAACUCUGUUGAUCAUUUUUAAAUUCUUUAAACACCAAAAUAUAUUUAAAUGCUGCUUUUAAAAAAAAAAAAAUGUUGCUAAUUCUUGCAUGUUCAACUGCUGAAAAAAAACAGGAGUUUUGGGGGGGCACCCGUGGCCCCCCAGACCCCUGGCUUAUUUUCAGUCUUUUUAUGAAGUUCAAGUCACAUGCCUGCACAAGUGCCUCAAAGAGAUUUACAAAUCUCCUGAUCUGAACCCUCAUGGGGGCGACCUAUUUUUUUUUUUUUUCAAACAUUUUACAAUAACAAUGUAAAAGGUUAAUAUAAUCCCCCACUUUAUC